rnacentral:rRNA from 1 species
AUUGAACGCUGGCGGCAGGCCUAACACAUGCAAGUCGAGCGAGCGGCGGACGGGUGAGUAAUGCCUGGGAAUCGCUCAGUCGCGGGGGAUAACAGUUGGAAACGACUGCUAAUACCGCAUACGAUUGGAUCGCACAGGUGGGAUUAGCUAGUUGGUGAGGUAAUGGCUCACCAAGGCGACGAGCUCUAGCUGGUCUGAGAGGAGGAUCAGCCACACUGGAACUGAGACACGGUCCAGACUCCUACGGGAGGCAGCAGUGGGGAAUAUUGCACAAUGGGGGAAACACUGAUGCAGCCAUGCCGCGUGUGUGAAGAAGGCCUUCGGGUUGUAAAGCACUGUCAGCGAGGAGGCGUUACUCGCAGAAGAAGCACCGGCUAACUCCGUGCCAGCAGCCGCGGUAAUUC